GAUGAACGCUGGCGGCGUGCCUAAUACAUGCAAGUCGAGCGAACGGACGAGAAGCUUGCUUCUCUGAUGUUAGCGGCGGACGGGUGAGUAACACGUGGAUAACCUACCUAUAAGACUGGGAUAACUUCGGGAAACCGGAGCUAAUACCGGAUGAUAUUUUGAACCGCAUGGUUCAAAAGUGAAAGACGGUCUUGCUGUCACUUAUAGAUGGAUCCGCGCUGCAUUAGCUAGUUGGUAAGGUAACGGCUUACCAAGGCAACGAUGCAUAGCCGACCUGAGAGGGUGAGCGGCCACACUGGAACUGAGACACGGUCCAGACUCCUACGGGAGGCAGCAGUAGGGAAUCUGCCGCAAUGGGCGAAAGCCUGACGGAGCAACGCCGCGUGAGUGAUGAAGGUCUUCGGAUCGUAAAACUCUGUUAUUAGGGAAGAACAUAUGUGUAAGUAACUGUGCACAUCUUGACGGUACCUAAUCAGAAAGCCACGGCUAACUACG
rnacentral:rRNA from 1 species